UCUAUGGAGACUGCCACCUAAAGUGGAGGAAGGUGGGGACGACGGUCAAGUCAUCAUGGCCCUUAUGUCCCUGGGCGUACACACGUGCUACAAUGGCCGGUACAGAAGGUGAAGCGAACCGCGAGGUGAAGCAAAACGCAGAAAAGCCGGUCUCAGUACGGAUUGGAGUCUGAAACUCGACUUCAUGAAGUUGGAAUCGCUAGUAAUCGCGCAUCAGCAUGGCGCGGUGAAUACGUUCCCGGGCCUU
rnacentral:rRNA from 1 species